CGAAUAUGACAAAUAUGACUAUGAAACUUUGCUGCAAAACUCAACGUUUUGCUUGGUGCCUCGCGGGCGACGUUUGGGAUCUUUUCGGUUUCUAGAGGCGUUACAGGCGGGCUGCAUUCCCGUUUUGCUGUCAAAUGGCUGGGUACUGCCCUUUGA